CGCAGGCGGUGCGGCAAGUCUGAUGUGAAAGCCCGGGGCUCAACCCCGGUACUGCAUUGGAAACUGUCGUACUAGAGUGUCGGAGGGGUAAGUGGAAUUCCCAGUGUAGCGGUGAAAUGCGUAGAUAUUAGGAGGAACACCAGUGGCGAAGGCGGCUUACUGGACGAUAACUGACGCUGAGGCUCGAAAGCGUGGGGAGCAAACA
rnacentral:rRNA from 1 species